UUCUGCCCUUCUGGUGAAUUUUCGUCCCGCGAUCAAUCCUGAAUAUUCUUCCGCUCCCGUUCUGAUGAGCUCAAUAUUUUUAAUAGACUCCAGAAUAACCUUAACCUUGAGGAUAAAAAUUUCCCGAGCCUUCGGCUUCCCGAGAAAUUCCAUAAAACCGAAAUUAGGGUUUUUUUUUUUUUUUUAAGACGGGGUAUUACAAGUGAACUCAUUAAAAAAAAUAUAUGGCUUCACCCCUGAUGAUAAUUAUACCUUUAGUUCUAUCUAACUGUCAUUUAAAGUAUACUUUAGGUUAUACAUAAUCAUAAUAUAUAAUUUCAACAUUAAUAUAUACAUCUUAUCCAGCGCAAAGCGCGGGUUACUAUAUAUGGUAUAUUAUUGUUUAGCUUACUUCGAAAACUGCUAUCUAUUGAGUGAUCAUGAAUCUUUGUGGAUUCUACACCUGAAUACUACAUUGUACCUCUGAAUUUUCAGAGUAGCUCAUAAUUAGGGACAUAAUUUGAGCAUAUCAAAUCUGCUCUUGCAAUCCCGCAAAAGGGUUUUCGUCGACAAAAUCUUCAUC
rnacentral:lncRNA from 1 species